GCCUUCGUGGUGUAGCGGUCAGCAUACUUGACGCGUAUUCGAGAGGUCUGUGGUUCGAGUCCCGGUGAGGGCA
rfam:Stegodyphus mimosarum contig52389, whole genome shotgun sequence.